rnacentral:lncRNA from 1 species
UCAUUCUGCUCUAGAAACCGGCAAGCUUGAAUAACAUGUUUAGGGGGAAAAAAAGCAAUUAGAGACUAAAUGUAAAGAUGCUCUAGACUCAAAAGGGGUUAGGUCCUAGUUCUUCACUCACUAACUUUGUGAAUUGAGGUGGUUAUCUAACAUUUUUGGACUCUAGUCAACCUGAUGGAUUGACUGGGUUCUCCACCAACACCUAUAAAAUGGCCUAUCACUCAUUCUCAUCCUCCUUCCUCUCACACAACAGUUUUUAAUCUUUAGUUCUCCACCAACACUAUAAAAUGGCCUAUCACUCAUACUCAUCCUCCUUCCUCUCACACAAUACUUUUUAAUCUUUAAAAAGUUACAUGUAGUCUGUGCAGAGAGAGGUAAUAUCAUUACAAGAACUAGAGAGUUUAUAGUAAAUUUAAAAAAGAGUUAAGACAGGAAAAAAGAGAUUAAAUUUCUGACUGAUUUAUAUUUUCUCCUAAAUCUAAAUAAGGAAAAGUACCAACAGACUCUUGACCUUUGAAGGGAGCGUGUGCCCUGUGACCACUUUCCUUAUUCCUGUCCUCACACCCUGCCUUAAAUUCAUGUUCUUUCUCCAACAAUUCCUCCUUCUUAAAUCUCUUUGAUCUUGUCUUAAGCUUCUUUUCACUGCAAAGUUCUACUUUUCCCCACAACAGUGGUUCUAAGUCACUCACUCCAUCAUAAUGCACCAUGAGUCAAGCGGAAUCAGGAACAGCACAAGACUUUAGCCCCACGGUCUCUAAGCUUUGCAGAAAACUAAGUCAAAAGCAUUUGGACUCCAAAUAUAAAUUUUGAAAGGGAAAGGAAUCUGUACCUGUAAUCAUCUCCUCACAUCUCAGUGUGAAAAAUAAUUUGGAGAAAAAAACAAAAGUUGGUGAGUAAAUAGCAUGUUUGUUCAUAGAAACAAAUAGAAAGUUAAGUAGCAAAAUCACAACCUCAAAAGCUUUAGUAAAAAUAAGAAAUGUAAUCUUCAUUAGCCCAUAAAGUAAUCAAAAUUAAAUGUGAAUUAAGAUUUCUACAAUUCGCAAUAACAAUUAUUAUAGCAAUAUAAUGAUUAUAUUAUAAUAUUAGCUAUUAAGAAUAUAUUAACAAAAUAAAAAUGCAGCCACG